GAUGAACGCUGGCGGCGUGCCUAAUACAUGCAAGUCGAGCGAACGGACGAGAAGCUUGCUUUUCUGAUGUUAGCGGCGGACGGGUGAGUAACACGUGGAUAACCUACCUAUAAGACUGGGAUAACUUCGGGAAACCGGAGCUAAUACCGGAUAAUAUUUUGAACCGCAUGGUUCAAAAGUGAAAGACGGUCUUGCUGUCACUUAUAGAUGGAUCCGCGCUGCAUUAGCUAGUUGGUAAGGUAACGGCUUACCAAGGCAACGGUGCAUAGCCGACCUGAGAGGGUGAUCGGCCACACUGGAACUGAGACACGGUCCAGACUCCUACGGGAGGCAGCAGUAGGGAAUCUUCCGCAAUGGGCGAAAGCCUGACGGAGCAACGCCGCGUGAGUGAUGAAGGUCUUCGGAUCGUAAAACUCUGUUAUUAGGGAAGAACAUAUGUGUAAGUAACUGUGCACAUCUUGACGGUACCUAAUCAGAAAGCCACGGCUAACUACGUGCCAGCAGCCGCGGUAAUACGUAGGCGGCAAGCGUUAUCCGGAAUUAUUGGGCGUAAAGCGCGCGUAGCGGUUUUUUAGUCUGAUGUGAAAGCCCACGGCUCAACCGUGGAGGGUCAUUGGAAACUGGAAAACUUGAGUGCAGAAGAGGAAAGUGGAAUUCCAUGUGUAGCGGUGAAAUGCGCAGAGAUAUGGAGGAACACCAGUGGCGAAGGCGACUUUCUGGUCUGUAACUGACGCUGAUGUGCGAAAGCGUGGGGAUCAAACAGGAUUAGAUACCCUGGUAGUCCACGCCGUAAACGAUGAGUGCUAAGUGUUAGGGGGUUUCCGCCCCUUAGUGCUGCAGCUAACGCAUUAAGCACUCCGCCUGGGGAGUACGACCGCAAGGUUGAAACUCAAAGGAAUUGACGGGGACCCGCACAAGCGGUGGAGCAUGUGGUUUAAUUCGAAGCAACGCGAAGAACCUUACCAAAUCUUGACAUCCUUUGACAACUCUAGAGAUAGAGCCUUCCCCUUCGGGGGACAAAGUGACAGGUGGUGCAUGGUUGUCGUCAGCUCGUGUCGUGAGAUGUUGGGUUAAGUCCCGCAACGAGCGCAACCCUUAAGCUUAGUUGCCAUCAUUAAGUUGGGCACUCUAAGUUGACUGCCGGUGACAAACCGGAGGAAGGUGGGGAUGACGUCAAAUCAUCAUGCCCCUUAUGAUUUGGGCUACACACGUGCUACAAUGGACAAUACAAAGGGCAGCGAAACCGCGAGGUCAAGCAAAUCCCAUAAAGUUGUUCUCAGUUCGGAUUGUAGUCUGCAACUCGACUACAUGAAGCUGGAAUCGCUAGUAAUCGUAGAUCAGCAUGCUACGGUGAAUACGUUCCCGGGUCU
rnacentral:rRNA from 1 species